ACGGGUGAGUAAUACAUCGGAACGUAUCCUGGAGUGGGGGAUAGCCCGGCGAAAGCCGGAUUAAUACCGCAUACGCUCUGAGGAGGAAAGCGGGGGACCUUCGGGCCUCGCGCUCAAGGGGCGGCCGAUGGCGGAUUAGGUAGUUGGUGGGGUAAAGGCCUACCAAGCCGACGAUCCGUAGCUGGUCUGAGAGGACGACCAGCCACACUGGGACUGAGACACGGCCCAGACUCCUACGGGAGGCAGCAGUGGGGAAUUUUGGACAAUGGGGGCAACCCUGAUCCAGCAAUGCCGCGUGUGUGAAGAAGGCCUUCGGGUUGUAAAGCACUUUUGUCCGGAAAGAAAUCAUCGGGGCCAAUACCCCUGGUGGAUGACGGUACCGGAAGAAUAAGCACCGGCUAACUACGUGCCAGCAGCCGCGGUAAUACGUAGGGUGCGAGCGUUAAUCGGAAUUACUGGGCGUAAAGCAUGCGCAGGCGGUGCUGUAAGACCGAUGUGAAAUCCCCGGGCUUAACCUGGGAACUGCAUUGGUGACUGCAGCGCUGGAGUAUGGCAGAGGGGGGUGGAAUUCCACGU
rnacentral:rRNA from 1 species